rnacentral:rRNA from 1 species
AUUGAACGCUGGCGGCAGGCUUAACACAUGCAAGUCGAGCGGAGAUGAGGUGCUUGCACCUUAUCUUAGCGGCGGACGGGUGAGUAAUGCUUAGGAAUCUGCCUAUUAGUGGGGGACAACAUUCCGAAAGGAAUGCUAAUACCGCAUACGUCCUACGGGAGAAAGCAGGGGAUCACUUGUGACCUUGCGCUAAUAGAUGAGCCUAAGUCGGAUUAGCUAGUUGGUGGGGUAAAGGCCUACCAAGGCGACGAUCUGUAGCGGGUCUGAGAGGAUGAUCCGCCACACUGGGACUGAGACACGGCCCAGACUCCUACGGGAGGCAGCAGUGGGGAAUAUUGGACAAUGGGGGGAACCCUGAUCCAGCCAUGCCGCGUGUGUGAAGAAGGCCUUAUGGUUGUAAAGCACUUUAAGCGAGGAGGAGGCUCUUUUGGUUAAUACCCAAGAUGAGUGGACGUUACUCGCAGAAUAAGCACCGGCUAACUCUGUGCCAGCAGCCGCCGUAA